CGAAAACCUUACCUACCCUUGACAUGUCUGGAAUCCCGAAGAGAUUUGGGAGUGCUCGCAAGAGAACCGGAACACAGGUGCUGCAUGGCUGUCGUCAGCUCGUGUCGUGAGAUGUUGGGUUAAGUCCCGCAACGAGCGCAACCCUUGUCAUUAGUUGCUACGAAAGGGCACUCUAAUGAGACUGCCGGUGACAAACCGGAGGAAGGUGGGGAUGACGUCAAGUCCUCAUGGCCCUUAUGGGUAGGGCUUCACACGUCAUACAAUGGUCGGGACAGAGGGUCGCCAACCCGCAAGGGGGAGCCAAUCCCAGAAACCCGAUCGUAGUCCGGAUUGCAGUCUGCAACUCGACUGCAUGAAGUCGGAAUCGCUAGUAAUCGCGGAUCAGAAUGUCGCGGUGAAUACGUUCCCGGGUCUUGUACACACCGCCCGUCACACCAUGGGAGUGGGUUUUACCAGAAGUAGUUAGCCUAACCGCAAGGGGGGCGAUUACCACGGUAGGAUUCAUGACUGGGGUGAAGUCGUAACAAGGUAAGCGUAGUGCU
rnacentral:rRNA from 1 species